GUACACGCUGUGACUAGCAUAUCAAUAAGCGGAGGAAAAGAAACUAACAAGGAUUCCCUCAGUAACGGCGAGUGAAGCGGGAAGAGCUCAAAUUUGAAAUCUUGAAAGGUCACCUUUCACGAAUUGUAGUUUAAAGAAGUGUUUUCUGUUACGAUCGUAAUAUAGGUUCUUUGGAAUAGGACAUCACAGAGGGUGAGAAUCCCGUCUAUGAUUGCGAUUUGUAGCUUUGUGAUACACUUUCAAAGAGUCGGGUUGUUUGGGAAUGCAGCCCAAAACGGGAGGUAAAUUUCUUCUAAGGCUAAAUAUUGGCGAGAGACCGAUAGCGAACAAGUACCGUGAGGGAAAGAUGAAAAGAACUUUGAAAAGAGAGUUAAAUAGUACGUGAAAUUGUCAAAAGGGAAGCGUUUAACACCAGUGUUGUUUUCUGAAAAUCAACCUCUGUUAGCUUUAUGCAUGUUUGUUUAGACCUAAUCAGCUAUCUUGCAUGUUCUAUUGUUUGCAGUGGUGCACUUUUCAGUUUACAGGUCAACAUCAGUUUUUUUUACCGUAAAAAAGUUAAAGAAAGGUAGCUCAUGGCUCCGGUCGUGAGUGUUAUAGUCUUUUUCCUAUGCGGUAGGAGAGACUGAGGUCUGCAGUGUAGGCUAUUUGGCUAGAUACUCAGGUGCUAUGUGAUACCAUUUCAUAAACAACUUGUUGAUUAUGUUUUGUCUAUUGCAUACUCGCUUGUACUAUCAUACCUACGCUUAGGAUGUUGAGUAGCGACAUACGCAC
rnacentral:rRNA from 1 species